rnacentral:rRNA from 1 species
GACGGAGGGUGCGAGCGUUGUUCGGAUUGACUGGGCGUAAAGGGCGUGUAGGCGGUCGGCCAAGUCUGGUGUGAAAGCCCGGGGCUCAGCUCCGGAAGUGCGCCGGAAACUAGCUGGCUGGAGCGCGGUAGAGGAGGGUGGAAUUCCUGGUGUAGCGGUGAAAUGCGUAGAUAUCAGGAGGAACACCGGCGGCGAAGGCGGCCCUCUGGACCGUUGCUGAC